UUUAAAUCACUAUCGAAGGCCGGACGGUGACCAGUAUUUAAUAACUUCUACGUGAUUUAGUCUUUGAUAGGGUUUUGUUUCAUUUAGCUAUCAUGCCAGAUCUUUUUAUUUUCAUAGAACCUUAUUGAACUUUUCAUCCGGCUGGUACUUAUUGUAAAGGAUGUACUUUGACAUAAUAUGAUGUUGAUAAGUGUAUUCUAAUAUAUCCUUAUU
rnacentral:lncRNA from 1 species